UACCCUUUGAUUUCGCUCUUCAUUUUUCACGAUAACGUCGUGGCUACCCUUCAAUUUCCCCCUUCCUUUUCUCACAAUCCACCAUCCGAAUGCCACCUCUACCUGUUACCAUCUGAACGCUCCCACUACAUGCUACCAUCCUAACGUCGCCAGAGGCUGUUGCUACCAUCCGAGUGUCAUUGCUCCAUUGCUCACCAAAAUCAUCGCUGACUCGUCGUGUGGGGAGAUUUUUGACAGAGUUGGAUGUUUAGUAGAUGUUGGAGGAGGAAUGGGACUUGUUUGAGUAUUUUAGUGAAGACUUGUCCAUGGAUUAAAGUUGAUCUUCUUCUUCACACCCUCCCUCAUUCAAAUGUAUAAGGGAUCCAGAUGCGUAGAAGGAGUCUGAAAUCCAUAAAAACCUAUCCUCUGGCAUGAAGCGAAAUGACUGUGCAGGAGUCCCUCAUAGAUUGUUCCAACAUCCUACUCACUGAGGAUAAGGAUGUUCGUCUUGAUUGAUACACGAAAAUCAUACUCACAGGCUGAGUUAGACGAGGUGCAAGGUUGAGUUAGCUGAUUUUUUCAGUUCGUACAUAUGAUUGCAGCUUAUUUGUGAUUCUGAAGUAGGAAUUUUUUUUGUUGUGGGUUCCAAUCUGAAACUUUAUGUAUAUAGAUAAUAUAGGUGAAUUUUUUGAAUUGUUCACAUGGAGGGGGGUUGAUUGGUAUACUUUUGAGAUUAGAUUUACUAUAGAUAGAUAUUCUU